rnacentral:tRNA from 1 species
GAAAGUUUAGUUAAACUAAUAACGUCAGCCAGUCAAGCUCAAAUUAUACCAAAUAUACCUUUCU